rnacentral:rRNA from 1 species
GAACGCUGGCGGCGUGCUUAACACAUGCAAGUCGAACGAGAACGGAUUAUAGCUUGCUAUAAUUGUCAGCUAAGUGGCGCACGGGUGAGUAAUGUAUAGAUAACCUGCCCUCUAGAAAGGAAUAACAGAUGGAAACGUCUGCUAAUGCCCUAUAUGCCUUUAAUACAUAAGUAUGCAAGGGAAACGCUUUAGUGCUAGAGGAUGGGUCUGUAUGGUAUCAGCUUGUUGGUGAGGUAAUGGCUCACCAAGGCAAUGACGCCUAACUGGUUUGAGAGGAUGAUCAGUCACACUGGAACUGAGACACGGUCCAGACUCCUACGGGAGGCAGCAGUGGGGAAUAUUGCACAAUGGACGAAAGUCUGAUGCAGCAACGCCGCGUGGAGGAUGACACAUUUCGGUGCGUAAACUCCUUUUAUAUAGGAAGAUAAUGACGGUACUAUAUGAAUAAGCACCGGCUAACUCCGUGCCAGCAGCCGCGGUAAUACGGAGGGUGCAAGCGUUACUCGGAAUCACUGGGCGUAAAGAGCGUGUAGGCGGGUAUAUAAGUCAGAAGUGAAAUCCAAUAGCUUAACUAUUGAACUGCUUUUGAAACUGUAUACCUAGAAUGU